UCCCUAGUGGCUCAGACACUAAAGAAUCUGCCUGUCAUGCAGGAGAUCCAGGUUUGAUCCCUGGUUUGGGAA
rnacentral:tRNA from 1 species